GACGAACGCUGGCGGCGUGCCUAAUACAUGCAAGUAGAACGCAGUUGCGAACGGGUGAGUAACGCGUAGGUAACCUGCCUCAUAGCGGGGGAUAACUAUUGGAAACGAUAGCUAAUACCGCAUACUGUGAGAUGGACCUGCGUUGUAUUAGCUAGUUGGUGAGGUAAAGGCUCACCAAGGCGACGAUACAUAGCCGACCUGAGAGGGUGAUCGGCCACACUGGGACUGAGACACGGCCCAGACUCCUACGGGAGGCAGCAGUGGGGAAUUUUGGACAAUGGGGGAAACCCUGAUCCAGCCAUCCCGCGUGUGCGAUGAAGGCCUUCGGGUUGUAAAGCACUUUUGGCAGGAAAGCGGUACCUGCAGAAUAAGCACCGGCUAACUACGUGCCAGCAGCCGCGGUAAUAC
rnacentral:rRNA from 1 species